ACAGGAUCAAAAAUCUGUUCUGAACAUGCCUCAUGCAUCCGCGAAGAGGCAACUUAUUCCUGUAAGUGUAAGGAUGGAUUCUAUGACCACAGUCCCCGUGUACCAGGGAGAGAUUGCCAAGACAUAAAUGAAUGUGCUACUAACACGUCAUCAUGUUCACGCUUGGCCACAUGCAACAACACUGUAGGAAGUUAUGAAUGUAACUGUAAUCCAGGAAUAAAAGAUGGGAAUCCAACAAAUCCUGGAAGACAAUGUAAAGACCCUGUUCUCUGCUUCAGCAGUGCUAACCUUUGCUCAACACAAAAUAAUGACUGUCUUGACUCCAAAAAUCGGAUAUGCUCAA